rnacentral:rRNA from 1 species
UAGGGAAUCUUCCACAAUGGACGCAAGUCUGAUGGAGCAACGCCGCGUGAGUGAAGAAGGUCUUCGGAUCGUAAAGCUCUGUUGUUGGUGAAGAAGGAUAGAGGCAGUAACUGGUCUUUAUUUGACGGUAAUCAACCAGAAAGUCACGGCUAACUACGUGCCAGCAGCCGCGGUAAUACGUAGGUGGCAAGCGUUGUCCGGAUUUAUUGGGCGUAAAGCGAGCGCAGGCGGAAUGAUAAGUCUGAUGUGAAAGCCCACGGCUCAACCGUGGAACUGCAUCGGAAACUGUCAUUCUUGAGUGCAGAAGAGGAGAGUGGAACUCCAUGUGUAGCGGUGGAAUGCGUAGAUAUAUGGAAGAACACCAGUGGCGAAGGCGGCUCUCUGGUCUGCAACUGACGCUGAGGCUCGAAAGCAUGGGUAGCGAACAGGAUUAGAUACCCUGGUAGUCCAUGCCGUAAACGAUG